rnacentral:rRNA from 1 species
GAGUUUGAUCAUGGCUCAGGACAAACGCUGGCGGCGUGCCUAACACAUGCAAGUCGAGCGGGGAUUGCGGAAGUGCUUGCACAGAAACAAUUCUAGCGGCGGACGGGUGAGUAACGCGUGAGCAAGCUGUCCUUCACAGGGGGAUAACACUUGGAAACAGGUGCUAAUACCGCAUAAGACCACGCUGCCGCAUGGCGGAGAGGUCAAAGGAGAAAUCCGGUGAAGGGUGCGCUCGCGUCCCAUUAGAUAGUUGGCGGGUAACGGCCCACCAAGUCGACGAUGGGUAGCCGACCUGAGAGGGUGAUCGGCCACACUGGGACUGAGACACGGCCCAGACUCC